rnacentral:rRNA from 1 species
CGCGUGAGGAACCUGCCUCAAAGAGGGGGACAACAGUUGGAAACGACUGCUAAUACCGCAUAAGCCCACAGCUCGGCAUCGAGCAGAGGGAAAAGGAGCAAUCCGCUUUGAGAUGGCCUCGCGUCCGAUUAGCUAGUUGGUGAGGUAAUGGCCCACCAAGGCAACGAUCGGUAGCCGGACUGAGAGGUUGAACGGCCACAUUGGGACUGAGACACGGCCCAG